UCCUGUGAUGUCUGGGGGACAGUAAGCUGUGUUGUUAUAGACGCUUUCUCAGGGCAGGCUGCUUCCUCGUUAGGAAGGAAUAACCACAGAAGUGCAGCUGCUGUGACUAUUAAUAAUAUAUCUUUUAUUUCACACGCAGGGGCCUGUUAACCAAAGGAAAUUCGUGGGAUGUGUCGUGAAAACACAGAGGUGGCAGCUAUUUCUGAGAUUUACCAAGUUCCAGAAUGUAAAGCAUUAACCAUUGCGGCCAACAGGCUACUUACCACAAAACAUACCUGGAGAGAGAUCUGUGCGAUUCCUCCCCGGGUCUCCGGAUGGAAUUCCAAAUUCACAUUUCAUAUGAGGAGAACAUGCUCGAUGACACUCAGCCUGAUCGAGAGGAGGCAUCUGAAAGGGAGGAUAUAUUGGUGCUGAACCUGACUGCAAUGCCUCCACCUGUGGCCACUCCUACCAGACAAAGGGGGUCAUUCCGAGUUGAUCG